AUUGAACGCUGGCGGCAGGCCUAACACAUGCAAGUCGAGCGGAGCGGCGGACGGGUGAGUAAUGCCUAGGAAUCUGCCUGGUAGUGGGGGAUAACGUCCGGAACGGGCGCUAAUACCGCAUACGAUUGAAUGAGCCGAUGUCGGAUUAGCUAGUUGGCGGGGUAAAGGCCCACCAAGGCGACGAUCCGUAGCUGGUCUGAGAGGAUGAUCAGCCACACUGGAACUGAGACACGGUCCAGACUCCUACGGGAGGCAGCAGUGGGGAAUAUUGGACAAUGGGCGAAAGCCUGAUCCAGCCAUGCCGCGUGUGUGAAGAAGGUCUUCGGAUUGUAAAGCACUUUAAGUUGGGAGGCGUUACCAACAGAAUAAGCACCGGCUAACUUCGUGCCAGCAGCCGCGGUAAUAC
rnacentral:rRNA from 1 species